rnacentral:rRNA from 1 species
GGUUAAGCGACUAAGCGUACACGGUGGAUGCCCUGGCAGUCAGAGGCGAUGAAGGACGUGCUAAUCUGCGAUAAGCGUCGGUAAGGUGAUAUGAACCGUUAUAACCGGCGAUUUCCGAAUGGGGAAACCCAGUGUGAUUCGUCACACUAUCAUUAACUGAAUCCAUAGGUUAAUGAGGCGAACCGGGGGAACUGAAACAUCUAAGUACCCCGAGGAAAAGAAAUCAACCGAGAUUCCCCCAGUAGCGGCGAGCGAACGGGGAGCAGCCCAGAGCCUGAAUCAGUGUGUGUGUUAGUGGAAGCGUCUGGAAAGGCGCGCGAUACAGGGUGACAGCCCCGUACACAAAAAUGCACAUGCUGUGAGCUCGAUGAGUAGGGCGGGACACGUGGUAUCCUGUCUGAAUAUGGGGGGACCAUCCUCCAAGGCUAAAUACUCCUGACUGACCGAUAGUGAACCAGUACCGUGAGGGAAAGGCGAAAAGAACCCCGGCGAGGGGAGUGAAAAAGAACCUGAAACCGUGUACGUACAAGCAGUGGGAGCACGCUUAGGCGUGUGACUGCGUACCUUUUGUAUAAUGGGUCAGCGACUUAUAUUCUGUAGCAAGGUUAACCGAAUAGGGGAGCCGAAGGGAAACCGAGUCUUAACUGGGCGUUAAGUUGCAGGGUAUAGACCCGAAACCCGGUGAUCUAGCCAUGGGCAGGUUGAAGGUUGGGUAACACUAACUGGAGGACCGAACCGACUAAUGUUGAAAAAUUAGCGGAUGACUUGUGGCUGGGGGUGAAAGGCCAAUCAAACCGGGAGAUAGCUGGUUCUCCCCGAAAGCUAUUUAGGUAGCGCCUCGUGAAUUCAUCUCCGGGGGUAGAGCACUGUUUCGGCAAGGGGGUCAUCCCGACUUACCAACCCGAUGCAAACUGCGAAUACCGGAGAAUGUUAUCACGGGAGACACACGGCGGGUGCUAACGUCCGUCGUGAAGAGGGAAACAACCCAGACCGCCAGCUAAGGUCCCAAAGUCAUGGUUAAGUGGGAAACGAUGUGGGAAGGCCCAGACAGCCAGGAUGUUGGCUUAGAAGCAGCCAUCAUUUAAAGAAAGCGUAAUAGCUCACUGGUCGAGUCGGCCUGCGCGGAAGAUGUAACGGGGCUAAACCAUGCACCGAAGCUGCGGCAGCGACACUGUGUGUUGUUGGGUAGGGGAGCGUUCUGUAAGCCUGCGAAGGUGUGCUGUGAGGCAUGCUGGAGGUAUCAGAAGUGCGAAUGCUGACAUAAGUAACGAUAAAGCGGGUGAAAAGCCCGCUCGCCGGAAGACCAAGGGUUCCUGUCCAACGUUAAUCGGGGCAGGGUGAGUCGACCCCUAAGGCGAGGCCGAAAGGCGUAGUCGAUGGGAAACAGGUUAAUAUUCCUGUACUUGGUGUUACUGCGAAGGGGGGACGGAGAAGGCUAUGUUGGCCGGGCGACGGUUGUCCCGGUUUAAGCGUGUAGGCUGGUUUUCCAGGCAAAUCCGGAAAAUCAAGGCUGAGGCGUGAUGACGAGGCACUACGGUGCUGAAGCAACAAAUGCCCUGCUUCCAGGAAAAGCCUCUAAGCAUCAGGUAACAUCAAAUCGUACCCCAAACCGACACAGGUGGUCAGGUAGAGAAUACCAAGGCGCUUGAGAGAACUCGGGUGAAGGAACUAGGCAAAAUGGUGCCGUAACUUCGGGAGAAGGCACGCUGAUACGUAGGUGAAGUCCCUCGCGGAUGGAGCUGAAAUCAGUCGAAGAUACCAGCUGGCUGCAACUGUUUAUUAAAAACACAGCACUGUGCAAACACGAAAGUGGACGUAUACGGUGUGACGCCUGCCCGGUGCCGGAAGGUUAAUUGAUGGGGUCAGCGCAAGCGAAGCUCUUGAUCGAAGCCCCGGUAAACGGCGGCCGUAACUAUAACGGUCCUAAGGUAGCGAAAUUCCUUGUCGGGUAAGUUCCGACCUGCACGAAUGGCGUAAUGAUGGCCAGGCUGUCUCCACCCGAGACUCAGUGAAAUUGAACUCGCUGUGAAGAUGCAGUGUACCCGCGGCAAGACGGAAAGACCCCGUGAACCUUUACUAUAGCUUGACACUGAACAUUGAGCCUUGAUGUGUAGGAUAGGUGGGAGGCUUUGAAGUGUGGACGCCAGUCUGCAUGGAGCCGACCUUGAAAUACCACCCUUUAAUGUUUGAUGUUCUAACGUUGACCCGUAAUCCGGGUUGCGGACAGUGUCUGGUGGGUAGUUUGACUGGGGCGGUCUCCUCCUAAAGAGUAACGGAGGAGCACGAAGGUUGGCUAAUCCUGGUCGGACAUCAGGAGGUUAGUGCAAUGGCAUAAGCCAGCUUGACUGCGAGCGUGACGGCGCGAGCAGGUGCGAAAGCAGGUCAUAGUGAUCCGGUGGUUCUGAAUGGAAGGGCCAUCGCUCAACGGAUAAAAGGUACUCCGGGGAUAACAGGCUGAUACCGCCCAAGAGUUCAUAUCGACGGCGGUGUUUGGCACCUCGAUGUCGGCUCAUCACAUCCUGGGGCUGAAGUAGGUCCCAAGGGUAUGGCUGUUCGCCAUUUAAAGUGGUACGCGAGCUGGGUUUAGAACGUCGUGAGACAGUUCGGUCCCUAUCUGCCGUGGGCGCUGGAGAACUGAGGGGGGCUGCUCCUAGUACGAGAGGACCGGAGUGGACGCAUCACUGGUGUUCGGGUUGUCAUGCCAAUGGCACUGCCCGGUAGCUAAAUGCGGAAGAGAUAAGUGCUGAAAGCAUCUAAGCACGAAACUUGCCCCGAGAUGAGUUCUCCCUGACUCCUUGAGAGUCCUGAAGGAACGUUGAAGACGACGACGUUGAUAGGCCGGAUGUGUAAGCGCAGCGAUGCGUUGAGCUAACCGGUACUAAUGAACCGUGAGGCUUAACCUU